UUUUUGGUGCAAAGUAAAUAUCUGUCCCCAUGUGGAGCCCUUGCCAAGCUCACAAUGACUAAUGGUACCAAUGCACAGUGAUGGUAAAACGGUCUUUGUCCUUAUAAGGGAACUGUUACGUCACAGCCUAAACUGAUGAAUGAGCAUCUUGUGAAGGAGAUGGCUGGCCCAGGAAGCACAGGUGCAAGCAAUUCACCUGUGCUUCCCACAUGACCAGACGGGAUGUGCCUAGUGCUCACCCCUCCCUGGGCUCAUUUAAGGUCUAGCCUCCAAAUGGCAGCAUCUUCUGGAUGAAACCUACUUCCUGAGGAGUGCUCUACAGCUACACAGCCUAUUGCUAGUUGGCUCUGGGGAACUGCGUGGGACAGCUUCUCCUGCAUGUUCUUUCACAACUGUAGAGGUUGUGACCUCAGAAGAGUAGUCUUCUUUUCUUGCUUCUGUUGCUUUUAUGGAAACAAACGAAAAAGCUCUUAGUCCCCUGGGAAUUCAGUGAUUUCACGCACUUUGCCCCAAGCUGAUUUAUACCUUUGUUAACGCAGCAAGCAUUUUCGUGCUGUAUGACUUUGACCUG